UGAGCAAUCUGCCCUUCGCAUCGGAAUAACCAUUGGAAACGAUGGCUAAUACCGAAUAUGACUUCGGAUCGCAUGAUCUGAAGUGGAAAGCUCCGGCGGUGAAGGAUGAGCUCGCGGCCUAUCAACUUGUUGGUGUGGGUAAUGGCCCACCAAGGCGACGAUGGGUAGCCGGCCUGAGAGGGUGACCGGCCACACGUGGGACUGAGACACGGCCCAGACUCCGUACGGGG
rnacentral:rRNA from 1 species